rnacentral:snRNA from 1 species
AGCUGCGUGGUGGGGCACAGAGCGAACUAUUCUUUCACCUUUUACUAAAGAAUACAGUGUGCCGGUCACUCCAAGCAGCAUACGCCAAUUUUUGAGGGCCCAUCCUAUGUUGGGUG